UCAGAUCGCAGUCUGCAACUCGACUGCGUGAAGUCGGAAUCGCUAGUAAUCGCGGAUCAGCAUGCCGCGGUGAAUACGUUCCCGGGCCUUGUACACACCGCCCGUCACACCAUGAGAGUCGGGAACACCCGAAGUCCGUAGCCUAACCGCAAGGAGGGCGCGGCCGAAGGUGGGUCCGGUAAUUGGGGUGAAGUCGUAACAAGGUACC
rnacentral:rRNA from 1 species